rnacentral:rRNA from 1 species
GACGUAGGGUGCGAGCGUUGUCCGGAAUUAUUGGGCGUAAAGGGCUCGUAGGCGGUUUGUUGCGUCUAUCGUGAAAACCUGCGGCUUAACUGUGGGCUUGCGGUGGAUACGGGCAGACUUGAGUUCGGUAGGGGAGACUGGAAUUCCUGGUGUAGCGGUGAAAUGCGCAGAUAUCAGGAGGAACACCGGUGGCGAAGGCGGGUCUCUGGGCCGAUACUGACGCUGAGGAGCGAAAGCGUGGGGAGCGAACGGG